AAACUAACAAGGAUUCCCCUAGUAACGGCGAGUGAAGCGGGAAGAGCUCAAAUUUGAAAGCUGGCGCCUUCGGCGUCCGCGUUGUAAUCUCGAGAAGUGUUUUCCGUGCUGGACCAUGUACAAGUUCCUUGGAAUAGGACGUCAUAGAGGGUGAAAAUCCCGUACUUGAUGUGGCCGCCCAGUGCUUUGUGAUACACUUUCCAUGAGUCGAGUUGUUUGGGAAUGCAGCUCAAAAUGGGUGGUAAAUUCCAUCUAAAGCUAAAUAUUGGGGAGAGACCGAUAGCGAACAAGUACCGUGAGGGAAAGAUGAAAAGCACUUUGGAAAGAGAGUUAAAUAGUACGUGAAAUUGUCGAAAGGGAAGCGCUUGAAGUUAGACAUGCUAGUUGGAAUUCAGCCUUGCUUUUGCUUGGUGCAUUUUCCGGUUAGCAGGCCAGCAUCAGUUUUGCCUGUCGGAUAAGGGUAGGAGGAAUGUGGCCCCUCGGGGUGUUAUAGCCUCUUACUGGAUACGACGGGUGGGACUGAGGACAGCAGUGCGCCUUUAUGGCGGGCCUUCGGGCACCUUCGCACUUAGGAUGCUGGCGUAAUGGCUUUAAGCGAC
rnacentral:rRNA from 1 species